AUUGAACGCUGGCGGCAUGCCUUACACAUGCAAGUCGAACGGCAGCUCGGGUGCUUGCACCUGGUGGCGAGUGGCGAACGGGUGAGUAAUACAUCGGAACAUGUCCUGUAGUGGGGGAUAGCCCGGCGAAAGCCGGAUUAAUACCGCAUACGAUCUACGGAUGAAAGCGGGGGACCUUCGGGCCUCGCGCUAUAGGGUUGGCCGAUGGCUGAUUAGCUAGUUGGUGGGGUAAAGGCCUACCAAGGCGACGAUCAGUAGCUGGUCUGAGAGGACGACCAGCCACACUGGGACUGAGACACGGCCCAGACUCCUACGGGAGGCAGCAGUGGGGAAUUUUGGACAAUGGGCGAAAGCCUGAUCCAGCAAUGCCGCGUGUGUGAAGAAGGCCUUCGGGUUGUAAAGCACUUUUGUCCGGAAAGAAAUCCUUGGCCCUAAUACGGUCGGGGGAUGACGGUACCGGAAGAAUAAGCACCGGCUAACUACGU
rnacentral:rRNA from 1 species